rnacentral:misc_RNA from 1 species
GAUGGAAGAACGUAGCGAAAUGCGAUAAGUAAUGUGAAUUGCAGAAUUCAGUGAAUCAUCGAAUCUUUGAACGCACAUUGCGCCCGCCAGUAUUCUGGCGGGCAUGCCUGUUCGAGCGUCAUUUCAACCAUCAAGCCCCCGGCUUGUGUUGGGGACCUGCGGCUGCCGCAGGCCCUGAAAACCAGUGGCGGGCUCGCUAGUCACUCCGAGCGUAGUAAUACAUCUCGCUCAGGGCGUGCUGCGGGUUCCGGCCGUUAAAAGCCUUAUUUACCCAAGGUUGACCUCGGAUCAGGUAGGAAGACCCGCUGAACUUAAGCAUAUCAAUAAGCGGAGGA